ACAGUACUCCCUCCGUUCGAAAAUACUUGUCGAAGAAAUGAACAUAUAUAUGCGUAUUUUAGUUCUAGAUCCAUUCUAGAUCCAUUUUUAUCCAUUUCUCCGAGAAGUAUUUCCGAACGGAGGGAGUACAUA
rfam:Triticum aestivum genome assembly, contig: Triticum_aestivum_CS42_TGACv1_scaffold_019083_1AS